rnacentral:rRNA from 1 species
GACGAACGCUGGCGGCGUGCUUAACACAUGCAAGUCGUACGGUAAGGCCCUUUCGGGGGUACACGAGUGGCGAACGGGUGAGUAACACGUGAGUAACCUGCCCACAACUUUGGGAUAACGCUAGGAAACUGGUGCUAAUACUGGAUAUGUGCUCCUGCUGCAUGGUGGGGGUUGGAAAGCUCCGGCGGUUGUGGAUGGACUCGCGGCCUAUCAGCUUGUUGGUGGGGUAGUGGCCUACCAAGGCGGCGACGGGUAGCCGGCCUGAGGGUGACCGGCCACAUUGGGACUGAGAUACGGCCCAGACUCCUGCGGGAGGCAGCAGUGGGGAAUAUUGCACAAUGGGCGCAAGCCUGAUGCAGCAACGCCGCGUGCGGGAUGACGGCCUUCGGGUUGUAAACCGCUUUCAGCAGGGACGAAGCUUUUUGUGACGGUACCUGCAGAAGAAGCACCGGCUAACUACGUG